GACGAACGCUGGCGGCGUGCCUAAUACAUGCAAGUAGAACGCUGAAGGAGGAGCUUGCUUCUCUGGAUGAGUUGCGGACGGGUGAUUAACCCGUAGGUAACCUGCCUGGGAGCGUGGGGUAACGAUUGGAAACGUUAGCUAAUACCGCAUAAUAGUAUAUGUUGCAUGACAUUUGCUGCAAAGGUGCAAUUGCAUCACUACCAGAUGGACCUGCGGUGUAUUAGCUAGUUGGUGGGGUAACGGCUCAACAAGGCGGCGAUACAUAGGCGACUCGAGAAGGGGGUCGGGCACAAUGGGAAUGGGAACAGGGCCAGACUCCCACGGGAGGGAGCAGCAGGGAAACUUCGGAAAUGGACGGAAAGCUGACCGAACAAAGGCGCGGGAGAGAAGAAGGUCCUCGGAUCGGAAAGCUCUGUUGUAAGGGAAGAAAGAGCGUGCGAGUAGAAAGUGCACACUGUGACGGUACCUUACCAGAAAGGGACGGCUAACUACGUG
rnacentral:rRNA from 1 species